GCCGGGGUAGCUCAGCACGGUAGAGCGCCGGGCUGUUAAAGGGGGUUGUAAACCAGCCCCCUGCAGAAACCCGUUUCGAAAAGCCUGGUAUGGCGGACACCCGGUGGUCCGGGGUUCGAGUCCCCGCCCCGGCG
rnacentral:tRNA from 1 species